AUUCCAAGCUUGAGUUUGAUCCUGGCUCAGAGUGAACGCUGGCGGCAGGCCUAAUACAUGCAAGUCGAACGGCAGCACAGUGGAGCUUGCUCCAUGGGUGGCGAGUGGCGGACGGGUGAGGAAUACAUGGGAAUCUGCCCAGUCGUGGGGGAUAACGUAGGGAAACUUACGCUAAUACCGCAUGCGCCCUUCGGGGGAAAGCCGGGGACCUUCGGGCCUGGCGCGAUUGGAUGAGCCCAUGUCGGAUUAGCUAGUUGGCGGGGUAACGGCCCACCAAGGCGACGAUCCGUAGCUGGUCUGAGAGGAUGAUCAGCCACACUGGAACUGAGACACGGUCCAGACUCCUACGGGAGGCAGCAGUAGGGAAUAUUGGACAAUGGGCGCAAGCCUGAUCCAGCCAUGCCGCGUGAGUGAAGAAGGCCCUCGGGUUGUAAAGCUCUUUUGUCCGGAAAGAAAAGCAUCGGGUUAAUACCCCGGUGUUCUGACGGUACCGGAAGAAUAAGCACCGGCUAACUUCGUGCCAGCAGCCGCGGUAAUACGAAGGGUGCAAGCGUUACUCGGAAUUACUGGGCGUAAAGCGUGCGUAGGUGGUUCGUUAAGUCCGAUGUGAAAGCCCUGGGCUCAACCUGGGAAUGGCAUUGGAUACUGGCGGGCUAGAGUGCGGUAGAGGAUAGUGGAAUUCCUGGUGUAGCAGUGAAAUGCGUAGAGAUCAGGAGGAACAUCCGUGGCGAAGGCGACUGUCUGGACCAGCACUACACUAGCAC
rnacentral:rRNA from 1 species